rnacentral:rRNA from 1 species
UACGGGGGGAGCAAGCGUUGUUCGGAUUUACUGGGCGUAAAGGGCGCGUAGGCGGCGCGAGAAGUCGAGUGUGAAAGCCCCGGGCUCAACCUGGGAACUGCAUUUGUGACUGCAUCGCUAGAGUACGGCAGAGGGGGAUGGAAUUCCGCGUGUAGCAGUGAAAUGCGUAGAUAUGCGGAGGAACACCGAUGGCGAAGGCAAUCCCCUGGGCCUGUACUGACGCUCAUGCACGAAAGCGUGGGGAGCAAACAGG